rnacentral:rRNA from 1 species
UACGGAGGGGCUAGCGUUGUUCGGAAUUACUGGGCGUAAAGCGCGCGUAGGCGGACCUGCAAGUCGGGGGUGAAAGCCCGAGGCUCAACCUGGGAACUGCAUUCAAAACUGACGAGCUAGAGUAUGGUAGAGGGUGGUGGAAUUUCCUGUGUAGCGGUGAAAUGCGUAGAUAUAGGAAGGAACACCAGUGGCGAAGGCGACCACCUGGACUGAUACUGACACUGAGGUGCGAAAGCGUGGGGAGCAAACAGG